rnacentral:rRNA from 1 species
ACGGAAGGCAGCAGUGAGGAAUAUUGGUCAAUGGGCGAGAGCCUGAACCAGCCAAGUAGCGUGCAGGAAGACGGCCCUAUGGGUUGUAAACUGCUUUUGUGCGGGAAUAACGUUGUGCUCGUGAGCGCAAGUGCAUGUACCGUACGAAUAAGGAUCGGCUAACUCCGUGCCAGCAGCCGCGGUAAUACGGAGGAUCCGAGCGUUAUCCGGAUUUAUUGGGUUUAAAGGGAACGUAGGCGGAAGAUCAAGUCAGCUGUGAAAUGUAGUCGCUCAACGUCUGCACUGCAGUUGAAACUGGUUUUCUUGAGUGCGUAAGAGGCAGGUGGAAUUUGUCGUGUAGCGGUGAAAUGCUUAGAUAUGACGAAGAACUCCGAUUGCGAAGGCAGCCUGCUGGGCCGCAACUGACGCUGAAGCUCGAAGGUGCGGGUAUCAAACAGGAUUAGAUACCCUGGUA